rnacentral:misc_RNA from 1 species
GGAAACUUGCUUGCUUGUACGAUUGCAUCCACCGUUUUCUGCUCCUGCGGACUUAAUUGUCCACGGCCAGUAUCAACACUUCUAGUUACCUGCCCAUCUGCAAUGAUUAAUAGAACAUGGUACUGGCCUCCACUCUGCUCAACUAUUGUCAUGGCCAUUUCAAUGACCGGGGCGAAUGAUGUUGGUCCUGCAAGCUUCAGCUGGGGGACAAUUUCUCUGUAACGAGACAGAACUUCCUCAAAACCAUUACAAAAUCUUUCAUCGGGAAAGAAACUGAAUACAUCUUGAUCAUGAGUUGAUGCA